ensembl:lncRNA
GGAAAGAGUAAGAAGCCAUGAUGAAGUGCCAACUAGAAGGAGACCUUCCACCAAACUUCGCUCCAAUCUGUUUUGUUAUGACAAGAACAAGUGGUUUUAACAAGUAUGCCAUAAAUCAGGGGCGCGCGCUCCAGCCCGGAGCCUUCCAGUCGCGUGCCCACUGCCAAGAGGAUCAGACCCACGGAAUCCCACUUGUUCAAUCCUGCUGCUGUGUGCCUACCAGGACACACUCAGGGGCUGCUGAGCCAGCAUCCAAGCGCAGAUUCCGAGGACACAUAAAGUUCUCCCUCUGUACUGCGGAGCUGUGCCCGUAGGUACCGUGAAUGGACACAGUUUUCCAGGCAGGCAUCAGAGGAGAGCAUGCCACUUGGACCAGCAGCGUAUCACAUCAACACAACUGCGUGGACAAGUCUUCAUAAGUGCUCGAUUUCUAUGCAAAAUGGAAAAACAGAUAGAAAACAAGGCCCCAUGGAU